UUACCAGUUUAAAAUUACCAGUUUAAAGUUACCAGUUUAAAGUUAUAAAAAAUAAAAUGUAUAGGGCGAACUUUUUUAAAAUAUUCUUGUUCUUCUCAUUAGUUACAUGCCUAAUUUUAUAUACCACAAAAUAUGAUAGAAAAGGAGUCUUAAGACAAAAACCAUUUAACAUGUGUUCAAGUAGGAAAGUAAAAGAUGGAAAUAAACAUUUAGUGAACUAUUAUAAAACAAAAUUCUCAAAUCUUGAGUUGUCAAAAUUGUUUUGGCUGUCUUUAAAAAAAAAACUAGUAAUUAUACAUCGGGUUAAUAGAAUAAAGGAUAAAAAGGUUAAAAAAGUGUUAAAUAAAAAUUUGCAAAAAUUAGAUUUUUUUUCAAAUCAUAUGAACAGUACUAGUAAUAACAGUAAUAGUAGUAAUAAUAACUACUUGAUUUGUUUUUUACAGAAUAUAAAAUUAUACCUCCAAUUUAAUAGGAGAAAAUUUAUACAACCUACUGACAAAAAAAAGAACAAGACAUAUUCCAAAGUGAAUGUUAAUAAAAAUAAGACAAAAGAAAAAAAUUUGUUAAACACAAGUAUUAAUAAUGUAAUAAAAAUUAUUUAUAAAAAUAUAUGUAAUAAAUUUAAAUUAGUAUUUGUAGAAAAAUUUGCUCAAAAAUAUAUGAACAGUAAUAAUUUUAAUAACCAUAAAUACAUAAAAUGGUUUCAUUUUGCAUCAUUUUUCCUGAACAUGGUCAUAAUAAAACAAAAAAAAAGAAUAUUAUCAACUGCUGGAACAGUAAUAGUUGAUUCAACUGGUGCUAAUAUUAAUGUUACUGAUGACACACUUACUGAGACUGAUAUUGAUGAUUUACCAAAAAAAAAAAAAACAGAAAAUAAAAAUGAUAAUAGUCAAUAUUAUGCAUUUUUUUUAGAUAUAGCAUCGGAAAAUACUUUAGCUGAUAAUGAAAUAGACAGGUGGGUUAAUCCAGAAACAAUGUCAUGUUAUUGUAGUGAAGAAAAUUCAGAACCAAUUACAUUAGACUAUGAUGGUAAUAAUAGUCACUUCGUCGAUUAUAAAUCGGUUACUACAUUCAUGAGUAAUGAAAUAUGUAAUAUAAAAAAUUUGCCGGCAGUUUUAAAAGAAGAAGAAAUAGGUACAGGUACACCAAUAAUGGCAGGUACAGGUACACCAAUAAUGGCAGGUACAGGUACACCAAUAAUGGCAGGUACAGGUACACCAAUAAUGGCAGGUACAGGUACGUUAGCACGUAUAUUAACCCACACACAUGCAAUUCCCACUAAUGUAUUUGUUGCUGUAUCUAACUAUAACGUUAUAGAUUGUGAAACAUAUCAAAACAAGUCAAAAGAAACUAUCAGUUUCGAUACUUUGUACAAUUAUUGUAAAUACGGUUUAGAUAUAUGGUCGCGUGAAGAAUUGUAUGAUUAUUCUAAUUGUGAUUCGAUUCGUUCUUAUGUACAAGAAGAUAAACAAUUUUGUAUUGAUCAUUGUAAAAAUAUAGUAAAUUUAUGUAACAAGGAUAAUAUGAAAUAUUAUUCUAUACAAUCUUGUAUAAGAUCUGCUAUUACUAAUGCAAGUACUGUUAAUAAAUAUAGUGAUAUAUUUACACAUUUUAAUAAAAGAUGUGCUUUUUAUGAUUCAUACAAUAGAGGAUUAGUUUUAUGUAAAUAUAAAAAUGAAGAAUGUAAUUUUAGUGAGUGGAGUGAAUGGUCCACUUGUUCGAGUAAUUGUAGAAAAGAUGAUUAUGAUAUAGGAGUAACUAAAACAAGAAAUCGUAAACUUUUAAAUAAAUCUACUUAUCUUGGUAAAACAUGUAAUAGUUUUUUUGAUGAUAAAAAUAAUUUAUAUGAAGUAAAUCAUUGUUCCGAAUUACCUUAUUGUGAUAAAAAAAUGAACGACUUACUUAAUGAAAAAAAAAAACAGUCUGUAGCUCCAUAUAUUAUUCCAUUAGAAGAAGUUAAAACUUUAUAUGAAUAUGAUGAAGCACUUAAAAAAGAUACUUUUGGAUUUUUAAAAGAUACUGAUUUUAAUACAAACAAUAAUAAUAAUAAUAAUAAUAAUAAUAAUAAUAAUAAUAAUAAUAAUAUACAUAAAUGUAGUAUAAUCAAUAUGUCCAAUUAUAAAAAUUCAAGAAGUUAUAAUGAAAAAAAAAAUUCUUGUUCAUGUCCUAAUAAUAAAACUGCAUGUUAUUUUAAAGAUAUAUAUAAAUCUGAUUAUUGGAAAAAAUCAUUUGCACAAUUAUGUAAAACAAAUCCUAAUGCAAGUGUUAUUACAGCUGAUUUUAUUUUAAUAAAUUGUAAUAUGACUAUAAGUGUUAAAAAACAAGAAACUUCUUUAAUAACAUAUUUUGCUAUGACUUAUAAUUGCCAAUCAAAUAUUUUUCAAUAUUUAUUUUGUUCAAAUACUGUAGAUAUAUCAGGUGAAACAUUUUUAUACAUACUUUUUACUUUUAUAUUUGGAUUUAUUUUAGCAUUAUUUGUUAUUUAUAAAAUUGUACAUCAAGGUAAAAUAUAUAAAGCCUUGUUUUUAGGAGUAAAGCCAACCAUAAAUAAAAUAAAUUCUAUGGCUUCGUAUGAAGAAAAUAUUAACCAUAUAGACUCUUUUAUAAAAACUUACGAUACCAUGGGUAAUGAAAUAUAUGAGAAAAACGAAAAUGGUAAUGGUGGAUUUUUUAACCGUAUGGUACGUUCAUAUAGAAAUGUUCAUAAUAAACUGGCUAAUAUAAAAGAUGAUGAUAUGUUAUUACAUUCUAAAAAGGAGAUAGUUGGUGAGAAGAAAAAAAAAAUAUGGAUUAAAAGGAUUUAUCAAUAAUAUGUUUAAACGUGGUGAUAAGUCAAUACGAACAAUAGAACCUGAGGGGAGAAAUGAAAAUAACAAUACAUAUAAUGAAGAGAGGGUAAAUGGAGAGGGAGUAAAUGAAGA
rnacentral:lncRNA from 1 species